AGUGAACGCUGGCGGUAGGCCUAACACAUGCCAGUCGAACGGCAGCACAGUAAGAGCUUGCUCUUACGGGUGGCGAGUGGCGGACGGGUGAGGAAUACAUCGGAAUCUACUUUUUCGUGGGGGAUAACGUAGGGAAACUUACGCUAAUACCGCAUACGACCUACGGGUGAAAGCAGGGGAUCUUCGGACCUUGCGCGAUUGAAUGAGCCGAUGUCGGAUUAGCUAGUUGGCGGGGUAAAGGCCCACCAAGGCGACGAUCCGUAGCUGGUCUGAGAGGAUGAUCAGCCACACUAGAACUGAGACACGGUCCAGACUCCUCCGGGAGGCAGCAGUGGGGAAUAUUGGACAAUGGGCGCAAGCCUGAUCCAGCCAUACCGCGUGGGUGAAGAAGGCCUUCGGGUUGUAAAGCCCUUUUGUUGGGAAAGAAAAGCAGCAGGUUAAUACCCCGCUGUUCUGACGGUACCCAAAGAAUAAGCACCGGCUAACUUCGUG
rnacentral:rRNA from 1 species